AUAAAAAAGGACACACUCUGGUGCUGCUGGACACAGAGGGACUUGGUGACGUGGCGAAAGGAGACUCUAAGAAUGACGGCUGGAUCUUCUGUCUGGCUGUUCUGCUCAGCAGCACAUUGGUGUAAAACAGCCGCGGCACCAUCGAUAACACUGCAGUGGAAAAGCUGCACUACGUUGCUGAGCUCGCUGAGCAUACCAAGAUCAGGUCAGCAGAAG